rnacentral:rRNA from 1 species
UUAUUUGAGAGUUUGAUCCUGGCUCAGGAUGAACGCUGGCGGCGUGCCUAACACAUGCAAGUUGAGCGAUUUACUUCGGUAAAGAGCGGCGGACGGGUGAGUAACGCGUGGGUAACCUACCCUGUACACACGGAUAACAUACCGAAAGGUAUGCUAAUACGGGAUAAUAUAUUUGAGAGGCAUCUCUUAAAUAUCAAAGGUGAGCCAGUACAGGAUGGACCCGCGUCUGAUUAGCUAGUUGGUAAGGUAACGGCUUACCAAGGCGACGAUCAGUAGCCGACCUGAGAGGGUGAUCGGCCACAUUGGAACUGAGACACGGUCCAAACUCCUACGGGAGGCAGCAGUGGGGAAUAUUGCACAAUGGGCGAAAGCCUGAUGCAGCAACGCCGCGUGAGUGAUGAAGGCCUUCGGGUCGUAAAACUCUGUCCUCAAGGAAGAUAAUGACGGUACUUGAGGAGGAAGCCCCGGCUAACUACGUGCCAGCAGCCGCGGUAAUACGUAGGGGGCUAGCGUUAUCCGGAUU